rnacentral:tRNA from 1 species
AGGAUAUUAAGUUAUUUUGAGACUGGUUGUUUUCAAAACAUCAAGAAAGAUUUUUAUUUUAUAUCCUG